UUAGCAAUUCAAUUAUGUGAUUAUUCACAAGCUUUACUAAUAGAAUUUGUUAGAACUUUUGAUGAGUUUUACGGGCCAAAUUCUAAAAUUUACAAUAUCCAUAAUUUGAUUCAUCUUACAGAUGAUGUUAGAAAUUUUAAGAAGCCUUUAGAUGAUAUAAGUGCAUUUGACUUUGAAAAUUUACUUGGGAAAAUAAAAAGAUGUCUUCGGGGUGGAAAAAAACCUUUAUCACAGUUAUCACGACGACUUUCUGAAAGUGCUUCCAUUUCUGUAAAAUAUACUUCUAAUUGGGAGUUGAAACAUAAACAUGAAUGUGGACCACUUAUUGCUGACACAGAAAACUCUAUAAAUGCAAAAAUAUUCCAUAGUUGAAUUUAAUGAUGAAAAUACCGUUGAAAUUAUUCCUUCUUCUUGGAUAUCAUUUGAUAAAAAAACUACAUUAUGGCCCAAUACUAUAUCUCCUGCCAUUCUAAAGAAAUAUUUGAAAAAUAAUACUCAGCCCAAUGAUGAUUGGACUUCUGUACAUAUAAGAGUUUUAGGACAUGCAGAUAAUUUAACUGAAGCCAU